rnacentral:rRNA from 1 species
UGCGUAGGCGGCUUUUUAAGUCGGAUGUGAAAUCCCCGAGCUUAACUUGGGAAUUGCAUUCGAUACUGGGAAGCUAGAGUAUGGGAGAGGAUGGUAGAAUUCCAGGUGUAGCGGUGAAAUGCGUAGAGAUCUGGAGGAAUACCGAUGGCGAAGGCAGCCAUCUGGCCUAAUACUGACGCUGAGGUACGAAAGCAUGGGGAGCAAACAGGAUUAGAUACCCUGGUAGUCC